GGUUCGAUGGUGUAGUUGGUUAUCACAUUCGUCUCACAAGAGUUCACGAGAGGUCGCCGGUUCGAACCCGGCUCGAACCA